AGCCAUUUUAGCAUUUUGUUUGGCUUUCCCCUUGAAGUGUGCAAAACAAGCAAAGAAAAGCUAAAAUAUUAGUUUUUUAUUUUUGACUAUUCAUUUGGCUUCUCCAUUGGAGAUGCUCUAAUACACACGGCUAGGAUGAGAGGGGGUGGGGCUGGUCUGCAUGUUUUUGCUUGGCUAUAUAAGCAAGUUGUUAAGUAAACAAAAAGGAAGAAAAAACAGAGAGAGGAGUGACAGACGGAGAGAGUUUAAAAACAGAGAGAGAAAAAGUUUAAAAGAGGGAGAGAAAAAAGAGGAGAAAAGGAAAAAUAGAGAGAGCCAGGAGGAGGCUGAGAGUAGGAGAAAUAGAGAAACAACAAGAACAAGAAGAAAUUACCUUCAGUCUAUCCUACCUUGCCGAACAGGGGUUUACAAAAACUCUUAAGAGGUUUUGAAAAAUCUCCUAGCGGCUAAAAGAGGAAGGCUUUCUUUGGUUAUUAGAGGUAAAAAGGCAGAAGCUUUUCCACCAGUUGUAUCUCAGUUUCUGCAUUCAAACGUGCAGGAUCCGUAUGUAUGAGUCUUGAAUUUCUUUUUCUUUAACAUAUGUAAAGCUGUUUGUUUGGUUUUCUUUUCUUUUCAAAAUCUGUUUUCUGCUUCUGUUUUGGGACAUUCAUUUUCCAUCUUAGCAACAAAGUUGUAUGCUUGCCCACUGUUCCUCCCAUGCCUUUGAGUUUAGAUUAUUAUUUAUGUUAGAGCUGCAUUUUUUUUCCUUCUGCUGGUUACUCAUACGGCGACUCAUUUAGAAAGAAAAACGAGAGAAGGUCCUCUUCAGUUGAGGUGAUGUUUUGGCUGGUUCUGGAGUGUGCUUUCCUUCCCGUUUUCUUUGAAAGAGAGAUAGCUGGCCAUUUGAUUUGUUGUUUCUGUUUUAGUGUCUUUGAUAUACAUGAUAUAAAGGCAUGCUCUUUUGGUUCUUUCAUUUUUGUAUAAAGCAAACCAUGACAGUGUUAGAGGUUAGAAAAAGGGUAGGCGUGAGCAACGUUUUCUGUAUUAGGUUUGGUUUUCAAAUGUUAGCUUCCAUGUGUAUAUGACUUGCUCCUCUUUGUCGAAAAUGAUGGGUCAUGCCAUGUUUAGGCUUUGAGUUAAAAGGCUGGUUUAGCUUUCCAGUUCUAUUGCUGUAAGAGACCGUAGGUUUUAAAGGUCUUCGUCAUCCCUGCCUUCCUUUGGUUUGAGUGUCUCUGUGCAACUGGAACAUUGCAUAGGCAUAGUUAUGGUUUAUAGGUGCAGAAGAAAGAGUGAAAAAAACGUGAGGGAGGGUCCUUUUAAUUAAGAGGACUUUGUUUUUUGCAGGUUCUGGUUUCAUGCUUUUUUUUCUCUGUUUUUUUUUUUGUAAAAAUGAGAUAACAUACACUUUGUUUUUUAGUCUUAGCAUUUAAUAUGUGUUCUUUCCUGCUGUGUCAAACGAGCAUGACAUUUGUUUAAAGAUCAAGAAAAGGAUGGGUGGUGGGGCAUGACUUCUGUUAUAGGUUUCAGUUUCAGAACUUUGCGGACUUGUGCUUUUCUUUUGAGAAUAAUGGGUAGACUUGUUUCAGACUUUAAAUUUAAGUUGAAAUGCUAGGUCUCGGUUGCUGGAUUCGAAUUGUUUUAAGCUUCCUGUGAAUUCUGGAAUACACAUGUGUACAGUUUGUUAUUUUAAUUGUGAUACUUGGUUUAAUUACGUUGUCUGUGUUUUGACAAAAAUAAAAAAAAAAUUUGUAUGUUGCAUACGACCAAUAC
rnacentral:lncRNA from 1 species